CCCGCCUCCUCCCUCGUCUUUUCCGGACUCCGCGGGAGCCAUUAGGUGCCCAGAGUCUCCUGAGAAAGUAGAGGGCGCGCCCGGGCUGAGCCACAGUUCUCUACACUCGCCCAGGAGCCACAGAAAGUGAACAUCCCUCAGGUGUCAGUGUCAUUCAAGCACGUGCCUGUGGAGUUCCCCAGGAGGAGUGGCCGCAGGUGGAGUCUGCACAGAGGACCCUGUACAGAGACGUGGUGAAGCUGGAGAACUACAGUUGCCUUGUCUGGUGGGAGUUGCCAAAGUCAACAAUGAGUUCCUUACAGCUAAACCUGAUAGACACCUUUCCAUCUUUGUCUCACUUGACCUCACAGCAGCUGUGGAUGAUGAUAACAUCCUCUUGGAGACACUCUACUAAACUUUGAGAACUCAGUAGUCUCCUGGUUUUUCUCCUGUGUAUGUUCAGUUGUAGUACAUUGUCUUGGAUUUUACAAAGGUGCCCAAAACUCAGCACUCCUCAACUAAACUCGCAGUCUUUCUCUGCAGAUACUUUUUCUCCUACGUCCUCCUUCAAAAUGAAUGCCUCCAAUUUGCAUGGAUGCUAAAGCUAAAGACUCAAGCAACAUCUUUGAAUCUUCCCUCUCCCUUAGUAUCCAAUCUCUCAUCCCACCACCAACCAGUCAGUGCUGAUUAUUACAGUCUCUAAACAGCUCUCAAGUAGUUUCACUUUUCUGCAUCCUUUCUGAAACCACCCUAGUCCUAGUAACCAGCCAAAUAACUGAAUUAUCUUAAUGACCUCAGGGCAAAACCAAUUCCAGUGCUUUGGGAGACGAUCUCACUUUCUCCAUUUAUUUAUUUAUUUAUUCAUUAAUUUUUGUAUCCUUUCUUCCUUGCUUCCUUAAUCCCUCCCUCUGUCUCAGAGCAUGCAAACUUAACUACUCAGCUGUGGGGCCAGCCCCACACUUUCUCCAUUUAAAUUAACUCUUGGGGUGACCGAGACUGUGCCUCAUAUCCUCCCAUAGCACUGCUUUAUAGGAGAGUCUCAGGGUCUUCAUGACAACUUAUAAUGAGGCUCUUUUUCUUAAAUAGGAAUCUGCUUUAUGCCACGUUUUGGACUCUAGAAAAUAUUUUGAAAUCAGAUUCUAAUGUUGGUAACAGCUUUACCUUGCUUUGUUAAUUUGUCUGAAAGCUCCUGUUGAAAAUAAAUGUCACAUGUGGAACAAAAAAGUCCUCUGUAAAAAUUUAGUCCAUCUUUGUUCACUCCCUCUUGAGAGUAUAGAAAAAAACCUGCAUAACAGGAGAAUGUUGAUGGAGAUUAGGGUGGGGGCAGUGAUGAUGGAGUUUGGUUGUUUUUCAGCAGUAGUAAGGUCAAAAUAAAAGCAUAAUAAAAGAAGAGUAAAAGAUUUAGGUCAGAGCUUUCUAUGAAAAAAAUUAAAAACCAUAAGCAGAUGGAAAAAGUUGCAAUACAAUAUGGCAGAUUCCACUAAUCAGUUUAAUAGACAGCCAUUUUAAUAGCAGAGAGAGUAGAAUGCAAAGUGAGAAGUUGGAAAAUGUGAAGGAGGCAAGAG
rnacentral:lncRNA from 1 species